rnacentral:ncRNA from 1 species
UAUCUCGCGUUGGGAGAACGGAAGGGCAUAGUCCCCCGUGCCGAAGGAGCAACCGCCCCGGUAAACUCUCAGGCAAAUGGACCUUCGCGAGGUC